ACGGGUGAGUAACGCGUGGGUAACCUGCCUCAUACAGGGGGAUAACAGUUGGAAACGACUGCUAAAACCGCAUAACACUGCACGAUCGCAUGAUAGAGCAGUUAAAUAUUUAUAGGUAUGAGAUGGGCCCGCGUCUGAUUAGCUAGUUGGUGAGGUAAUGGCUCACCAAGGCGACGAUCAGUAGCCGGCUUGAGAGAGUGACCGGCCACAUUGGGACUGAGACACGGCCCAAACUCCUACGGGAGGCAGCAGUGGGGAAUAUUGCACAAUGGGGGAAACCCUGAUGCAGCGACGCCGCGUGAGUGAAGAAGUAUUUCGGUAUGUAAAGCUCUAUCAGCAGGGAAGAAAAUGACGGUACCUGACUAAGAAGCCCCGGCUAACUACGUGCCAGCAGCCGCGGUAAUACGUAGGGGGCAAGCGUUAUCCGGAUUUACUGGGUGUAAAGGGAGCGUAGGUGGUUCGGCAAGUCAGAUGUGAAAGCCCGGGGCUCAACCCCGGGACUGCAUUUGAAACUGUCGGACUAGAGUGCAGGAGAGGUAAGUGGAAUUCCUAGU
rnacentral:rRNA from 1 species